rnacentral:tRNA from 16 species
UGGCGCAAUGGCAGCGCUUUCGACUCCAGAUCGAAGGGUUGUGGGUUCGAA